rnacentral:rRNA from 1 species
UACGUAGGGUGCAAGCGUUAAUCGGAAUUACUGGGCGUAAAGCGUGCGCAGGCGGUUUUGUAAGACAGGCGUGAAAUCCCCGGGCUCAACCUGGGAAUUGCAUUUGUGACUGCAAGGCUAGAGUACGGCAGAGGGGGAUGGAAUUCCGCGUGUAGCAGUGAAAUGCGUAGAUAUGCGGAGGAACACCAAUGGCGAAGGCAAUCCCCUGGGCCUGUACUGACGCUCAUGCACGAAAGCGUGGGGAGCAAACAGG